UUUUUAAGAUUUUAUUUAUUUAUUAUAUAUAAGUACACUGUAGCUGUCUUCAGAAACCAGAAAAGGGCAUCAGAUCGCAUUACAGAUGGCUGUGAGCCACCAUGUGGUUGCUGGGAAUUGAACUCAGGACCUCUGGAAGAGCAGUCAGUGCUCUUAACCGCUGAGCCAUCUCUCCAGCCCCCACCUGGGUGACUCUUAAACGACCAAGUGUAGCUGCCAGCACAUGGCUGCUUCUGGAACACAGUUUGUUUGUGCUGAGCCUGAGGAAACACUUCCCAGAAGACUUCAUUCCAAUGAUGCUGGUCUCCUCAUAAUCACAACUGAAUCUUCAUCCCCAACACUGCUUCACCUGUUGUCCCAAGAAAGCAAAGGUUUUACUCUAGUGUGUCAGGCCUCUUGCUAAUCACAGCUGAUCCAUCAGCUCUGGAUGACCAGACCCCACAGAUUCUUCACACAAAAGGUCUGGGGGAAUCUUUGCUUCCCUCUGAAACUCUACAAGCCAGGACUCCCCGUCGUGUGCUCUGUUCUCAACAUUCUUUUCUUCCAAGCUCCCACAGAACACACCACUGAGCUCUCAACACACAAUGGCUUUUCUAGCCCAACAUUCCGUUCUUCAUAGCCAUCCCCAAAAUAACAUGAUCAAGUCUCUCAUGACAAUCCAACUGCAUGCUAGGACAAAACAGAGCAAGAGAAAAAGAAAAAGACCAAAGGAAAUGCACGAGAACAGCAGAAAGAGAGAGGGGGAGGAGAGAGAGGAAGACAGAAAAAGAGAAAACCAAUAAAAACACAACAUCGGAAGCCAUACUACAUAAGCAAGUGACCAGUAAGGUGGAAAAUGCCUGGGGAGUUAUGAGAUUUAAAAAAUCUCUAAAAGUACAAUUGAGCUCAUUUUGUGUUGGCUGUCUCUUGCUGGGUUUAGACCUCCUUGUAAUUGUGGUUCGUAGACCCAGUGAGACGCCCUUUUCUUGGUGAGCAGUUGUCCGUUGGAGACAGCUUCCUGGCCAGGGACCGGCUAUCAAGUUCUCUUCUCCCUCUCAGCGCUGUGGCCCCAUCUGAUUGUAUCUGUAAAGGUGCUCAACAUGCUGCCACUGUCACUGUGAUUCACAGUGGUAAGGCUCGUUGUGUCUACCAGGCCUUCUUUCUUUGUUGCCUUCCAUCCCUGUGGCUUCUACAAUCUCCCUGCCUCCCUUUUCUGCAGUUUCCUGAGCCCUGGGGAGAGAAGUUUGAGAGAGACAUCCCACGUAGGACUGUCACUUAUUGCCUAGUUGUGGGUCUUCGAAUUCGUUCCCAUCUACCACAGGAAGACGCCUCUCUGAUCCUGAUUGAGCACAUCUGUGGCCAUAGCACAAUGUCAUUGGGAGUCACUAUGCUGCCACAUUGCUUUAGCAGAACAGUAGCAUUUGGUUACCUGAGCAGUGACACGCAUGGGUUCAGUCUCAAGGAGACUGUUGUGCCGGCAUAUCACAUAGGUCAUCACUAUGGAUUGAUGGGUUUACUGCUGGGAUGGUGUUUACUUUUAUCCCCCUGGUGGUGUGCAGAGUACCUUCCAGUACUGUGAAAACGAUUCGGUAUGGGUGAAGGCUGUAGCUAGGCACCAUGUUAAAUGGUAAAUGUAGAUGAAGUGUGUAAGCAUUAUCUUCACCAAUGGGGCCUUGCCAUUGUUUGUGGAGAGCUACUAAUAGCCUUGGGGGAAGCCUGGGUUGUUUGGUGGUUUCCAUGGGAACCCCAUGGCCAACAGCUCAAUGAGCUAGAUGUAACUCAUUCCUAGAACCGAGGGUUUCAUUUGGUGCUGAGAGCUGUCUAGUUGGGGCUUUGUAUCCAAAGUGGUGAUUAUAUAUAUGUAUAUAUUCAUAUAUAUAUUUAUGAAUAUAUAUGUAUGUGUGUGCUUCUACUACUGUCUUCUAUUUGACCCUUUAGACGACCCUUAGUUUUGGUGGUCCCUCCUCAUCUUCUCUCCCUUACCCCAUCUCAUACCCACCACAGGUGUGUAUGCCUAACAGGGGCACGGCUUGAGGUAGACCUAUUCCUAGACUCCUGAGGAAACACUACACUGAUCUCCACAGUGGCUGUCCAAGUUUUCUCUUCUUCUCAAGUUUCACAAGUUUUCAUGUGGCAGCAUCAUGUGCAAAAGUUCAAACUCUCAAUGGGCACUUGAGGGCAAGAAACUAUGGAGACUAUGACCCUGCCAAUGGCUGAUGUCAACCACUAGACCUAGGAGAACAUCUUCAGCUGUCCAGUACUAGUCACACUACCAGUCCACCGUCCAAAAGUAGAGGAGAAAAGAUGGUAAAGUGGACCUGUUUACAAGUAUCCCUUUGGGGCAGUUUCAAUCUCUGAUGUCAGGAUACCAGCAGUCCGGUUCAGUAGUGUCAGGAGAGCAAACAGGAAUCAGCAGCGGUGGCCCGACUCAGCAGAAACAGCCAGGCCUCCACUGAAUGCGUCAGCAGGAGCAACCAAGGUCGGCAGGGACGCCAGGAGAAGUUCUGUGCUAUGUCUCCCUCAACAAAGUGAGGAUCUGAUAGACGAAGACGAAAGACCGACGAAGCGCUGUAAAGUCAGCUAUGCAAGCUCCCUGUCGCUGUCUGUACAGUCCUGUCUAUACUCUCUCCAGACACCAUGUAUCUGCCCACGCGUCUUGCCUCAGCCAAACACCACAUGCGUCGGCCUCACCGCGUGUAUCUGCAUCACAUGACCCAAUCAGAAACUUCUACUUCAAGGUGUUCGUAAUUUAUGUUUCCUCACCUUUAGUUCCAUCAGUUCUGACAAAACCUAUGAGAAAAUAAAAUACCUCAAAUCUUCAUCAUGAAUGUGACACUGUAAAAUAAAGUUAUAGACCAAC